GAGUUUGAUCUUGGCUCAGGAUGAACGCUAGCGGCAGGCAUAAUACAUGCAAGUUGAACGGGAUUCAGAUAGCAAUAUUUGAUGAGAGUGGCGCACGGGUGCGUAACACGUAUGCAACUUACCUUAAACUGGGGGAUAGCCCGUGGAAACAUGGAUUAAUACCCCAUAGUAUAUUGAUUAGGCAUCUGAUUAAUAUUAAAGUUACGGCGGUUUAAGAUGGGCAUGCGCGUCAUUAGCUAGAUGGGGAGGUAACGGCUCACCAUGGCGACGAUGACUAGGGGGUCUGAGAGGACUUUCCCCCCACACUGGUACUGAGACACGGACCAGACUCCUACGGGAGCAGCAGUAGGGAAUA
rnacentral:rRNA from 1 species